rnacentral:rRNA from 1 species
UACGUAGGGUGCAAGCGUUAAUCGGAAUUACUGGGCGUAAAGCGUGCGCAGGCGGUUGUGCAAGACAGAUGUGAAAAUCCCCGGGCUUAACCUGGGAAUUGCAUUUGUGACUGCACGGCUAGAGUGUGUCAGAGGGGGGUAGAAUUCCACGUGUAGCAGUGAAAUGCGUAGAUAUGUGGAGGAAUACCGAUGGCGAAGGCAGCCCCCUGGGAUAACACUGACGCUCAUGGCACGAAAGCGUGGGGAGCAAACAGG